CUAGUAGCGGCGAGCGAAGCGGGAAGAGCUCAAAUUUAUAAUCUGGCACCUUCGGUGUCCGAGUUGUAAUCUCUAGAAGUGUUUUCCGCGUUGGACCGCACACAAGUCUGUUGGAAUACAGCGGCAUAGUGGUGAAACCCCCGUAUAUGGUGCGGACGCCCAGCGCUUUGUGAUACACUUUCAAUGAGUCGAGUUGUUUGGGAAUGCAGCUCAAAUUGGGUGGUAAAUUCCAUCUAAAGCUAAAUAUUGGCGAGAGACCGAUAGCGAACAAGUACCGUGAGGGAAAGAUGAAAAGCACUUUGGAAAGAGAGUUAACAGUACGUGAAAUUGUUGGAAGGGAAACGCUUGAAGUCAGACUUGCUUGCCGGAGCUUGCUUCGGUUUGCAGGCCAGCAUCAGUUUUCCGGGGUGGAUAAUGACGGUUUGAAGGUAGCAGUCUCGGCUGUGUUAUAGCUUUCCGUUGGAUACAUCCUGGGGGACUGAGGAACGCAGCGUGC
rnacentral:rRNA from 1 species